AAUACAGGAUGUCCAGUUAAAUUGGAAUCUCAGCUGAAUAAUGAAUACUUUUUUAGUAUAAGUAUGUCCCAUGCAAUAUUUGGGAUAUACUAAUGCUAAAAAAUAAUCAAUUGUUUAUCUGAAAUUCAGAUUGAACUGGACAUCCUGUAUUUU
rnacentral:miRNA from 1 species